CUCGACUUGCUAUAUAUAGGUGGAAGUUUGAAAGAAAAAGGAGCUUACUGGGUUUUUAGAAUUGGAAUAACAUAGGGGAGGGAACUGGGAUUGAAAAAGGAGGAAAAAAAGGUGAAGAAAGUAAGAAGCGGGAAAAAAGUGUGAGAAAAUAGUAGAAGGCAGAGAAGAAAGAAGAAUUCGGAAAAGGUUGAGAAAGCAGAGAAGGGGAAAGAAGGUUUGAAUAGUAUUGGUUUCACACAGCGAAGGUUUGAGAUUUCUUUUGCGGACAUGUGAUUAAAAUAGUUGAAGAGUAGUUGGAAUAGCUCAGAACAAGAUAACCUAAGCAUCAUCAAUAAACACAAGGGAAGGCAAGCUGAGUUGUGGGAGGAAAUUUUGUGCACUGUGAAGGUAAAUGUUUGAUUACUUACACUUACAUUAUUUUUUUUCUACGUUAAUUUGUGGCUGGUUAAACUUGUUGGGUGGAUUAUUAAUGGCGUGUUAUUGGAAUGUGGAAGCUUGUGACAAUCACUUCUAAAAGUUAUAUUAAUGGUGUAUAUGCUUGUAAUGUGGGAAAAAUAUACUAAUUGUGGGAGGAAAUUAUGUGCACUGUGAAGGUAAAGGUUUCAUUACUUUGUAAAGUGGGAAGGAUAUACAAAUUGUGGGAGAAAAUUUUGUGCCCUGUGAAACUAAAGGUUUCAUUACUUAUGCUUACAUUAUUUUUUUUUCUACGUUAAUUUGUGGCUGGCUAAACUUGUUUGGUGGAUUAUUAAUGACGUGUUAUUUGAAUGUGGGAGUUUGUGACAAUCACUUGUACAUGUUAUAUUAAUGGAGUAUAUGCUUGUAAUGUGAGAAAGAUAUACAAAUUGUGGGAGGAAAUUCUGUGUACUGUGAAACCAAAGGUUUCAUUACUUUGUAAUGUGGGAAGGUUAUACAAAUUGUGGGAGGAAAUUUUGUGCACUGUGAAACUAAAAGUUUCAUUACUUUGUAAUGUGGGAAGGAUAUACAAAUUGUGGGAGGAAAUGUUGUGCACUGUGAAACUAAAGGUUUCAUUACUUUCUAAUGUGGAAAGGAUAUACAAAUUGUGGGAGGAAAUUUUGUGCACUGUGAAGCUAAAGUAUUUUGUAAUGUGGGAAGGAUAUACAAAAUAUGGGAGGAAAUUUUGUGCACUGUGAAACUAAAGGUUUCAUUACUUUGUUAUGUGGGAAAUAUAUAUAAAUUGUGGGAGGAAAUUCUGUGCACUGUGAAACUAAAGGUUUCAUUACUUUGUAAUGUGGAAAGGAUAUACAAAUUGUGGGAGGAAAUUCUCUGCACUGUGAAACUAAAGGUUUCAUUACUUACGCUUACAUUAUUUUUUUUCUACGUUAAUUUGUGGCUGGCUAAACUUGUUUGGUGGAUUAUUAAUGACGUGUUAUUGGAAUGUGGGAGUUUGUGACAGUCACUUCUACAAGUUAUAUUAAUGAAGUAUAUGCUUGUAAUGUGGGAAAGAUAUACAAAUUGUAGGAGGAAAUUCUGUGCACUGUGCACUGUGAAACUAAAGGUUUCAUUACUUUUUAAUGUGGAAAGGAUACACAAAUUGUGGGAGGAAAUUUUGUGCACUAUGAGACUAAAGGUUUCAUUACUUUGUAAAGUGGGAAGGAUAUACAAAUUGUGGGAGAAAAUUCUGUGCCCUGUGAAACUAAAGGUUUCAUUACUUACGCUUACAUUAUUUUUUUUUCUACGUUAAUUUGUGGCUGGCUAAAGUUGUUUGGUGGAUUAUUAAUGACGUGUUAUUGGAAUGUGGGAGUUUGUGACAAUGACUUGUACAAGUUAUACUAAUGGAGUAUAUGCUUGUAAUGAGGAAAAGAUAUACAAAUUGUGGGAGGAAAUUCUGUGCAUUGUGAAACCAAAGGUUUCAUUACUUUGUAAUGUGGGAAGGAUAUACAAAUUGUGGGAGGAAAUUUUGUACACUGUGAAACUAAAGAUUUCAUUAUUUGGUGGAUUAUUAAUGACGAGUUAUUGGAAUGUGGGAGUUUGUGAUAGUCACUUCUACAAGUUUUAUUAAUGGUGUAUAUGCUUGUAAUGUGGGAGUGUAUAAACUUUGACAUUUGGGGAGAAUUUGUCUGCUACGCUGUCCUUUAAUUCCUGACAUUUGAGUUUCCUUUCCUUCUAUUUUAAUUUGUUCUUUUACAUACUCGUAAAAUUUUCUCAGCUAUAGAGCCAUGUUAUGUUCAAAAUAAUCUUUCUUUCUUACUUUAUAUGUUUUCCCUAUUAAUUUUGGUUUUUCAUAGUUAUGCUAUUUCUAUCCGAUCAUUCCGUUCUUGUGCUCUGUUAAUUGUAGUUGUCGUGGUUAUUCAUGUGAGGAUUGAGUCCCAUAACGCUUUUCACUUUUAUAAACAUAUAUCAGGGCUUGCACUAUUUGCAUUUAUUUGUUUGCAGCAAGCAGAGACUUCGUUUGGUAUUUCUCUGUCGGUUUGAAUAUUGGAUCAAUCGUGAUAUUGGGAGAGCUAGCAUAUUUGCACCUUAAAAUUAAAGAAUUAAUUUAUUUGAUGAGUUUCUGAAUUUGAUGGAGAAACAAGUUAGUUAUAUAGGGAAUGUGGGAGUACUUUUUUUUUUGUUCAAUUGUUUAGUGUUUAUUGUUUUCUUAAUUAUUCUCCAUUACUUGGGCUCUAUAGGGAAGACUUAUUAUGAAUGUUUGUUAGGUCGUGGAGGCUAUGGCAGUUGAUUAUUGGACUUCUUGUGAGGCUUUAGGUUUUAUCUUUAUGUUCGAAUUGGAAUUGCUUUAGUCUCUCUUGUUUGUUGAAUAGGAAGGUAUGUAUGUCUGUCAAUUUUGUGGUGCUGAUUCUUGAUGCAACGAAUUGGAAGAAGAUUUAGAACUGCUAACGACUCAGGUUAUUUUAUUUCUGACAAAUCCAGGAGUUGAUUGAACUGUUUGCAUUCAUAGCAUUAACAUCUCAAGAUAACCUAAUUUCUUUUACGUGUUUUUUCUACUAUUAUUUGAGAUUGCUAUAGUUGACCACCGAACAUUAGGAUCGAGUUGAUAUUUGUUUCUUUGUAGCAGGGUUUGAUUUAGUUUCCUGUCAUGACUUGUAUCUCGUAGAGUCUGUUAUGAUUGACUAUGUUGUCUCUAUUGUUUUUGAAGUCUAUAAUUUAUUAUUCAUCAUU